rnacentral:misc_RNA from 1 species
GAAAUGCGAUAAGUAGUGUGAAUUGCAGAAUUCAGUGAAUCAUCGAAUCUUUGAACGCACAUUGCGCCCUUUGGUAUUCCAAAGGGCAUGCCUGUUCGAGCGUCAUUUGUACCCUCAAGCUUUGCUUGGUGUUGGGCGUCUUGUCUCUAGCUUUGCUGGAGACUCGCCUUAAAGUAAUUGGCAGCCGGCCUACUGGUUUCGGAGCGCAGCACAAGUCGCACUCUCUAUCAGCAAAGGUCUAGCAUCCAUUAAGCCUUUUUUCAACUUUUGACCUCGGAUCAGGUAGGGAUACCCGCUGAACUUAAGA